GCUGACACAACAACUAAGUCACAAAUAUACAUUGCUGAAUAAAACAAACCAUUUGACCAACCCAGUAGAUGCGAUCGAACAGUCACACGUCACAACAAAGUACCGCAAGGGAACCACCAUCAAGCAAUAAACAGCAAAGACUAAUCCUUGUACCUUUUGCAUCAUGAUUUAGCAAGAACACAAGAACAAGAAGAAUCACAGCUCUUUUCCCCGAAACCGAACGAGCUAUUUUUAAGCAGUCUAACGGACGCACCCCUCUANGUAGCAAANNNNUGGAAAGACUUAAAAAUAGAG
rnacentral:rRNA from 1 species